UGGGUAAUAAUUUGAUUCACUCUGAUGAAUGUAUGAAUGUUUUAAUGUGGAUAUAUACAAAUAUUUUAACUGCAAUGUAUUUUUUUCCCUGUAAUUUAUGGAAAUUUUGACUAAAGACCGCAUUUAUUAAAUGCAGUUGCUGCAAGUUUAAAAGAUAUUGUAGUUUUGCAAUAAAUUCUGAGAUUUUUGAGAUUUAACCUAUAACAAUAGACCAUCUACAAGUUUUGAAAAUAUUUUUUAAAGAUAUGCAGAUUGUAUGACGAGCUUUAGAUAGUGAAUUAUGAAUCUUGUCUUGUUAAUAAAUAGUUGGCUAUUUUGCUGCUUGAAUAGCAUAAUGUGUUCUUUGCAGUCAAAUUGUUGAGUGUUUUAGAAGAGUAUAUCUUUAUGGAAGUUUUCUUCUAAUUUCUUUUACAUUUGUUUGGCAAUAGGUUAAAGAAAUGGGAAGUCAAGGGCAUGGGUUCAUGAUGUGACACCAUCCCCUGAGCAGGAAUGGUCGACUUCCACUCCACCUUUCUAAGAAAGUGAAACUGAAAGGAAAGAAAAAAUUUUCAAAUGUUCUAUCAGGUAUAUGUAUUCAAAAGCUCAAUGUUCAUGUUUCAUCUUCAUUGAAUCAUGCAUCUCCAACUCAUAAUGUACAAAGCACAAGAAUGUAUUUGAGCUUUGAGCUUUGAGGAUUGUAAUAGUUGCUUCCUAGAAUUGAUGUAGGCAGUGAAGAUAAAACAUCAACCAAAAUGAGACAAAUGGGUUAGGUUAAGGAGUGGAGAGGCUAUAGGAGAACUGGGUUUGUGGGGGAUUUGUACAUCAUUUCAUUUUUUGUGUGUAUGGUUUGGUAUCUGUCAAUUAAAUUUUUGUUUGGAAGUAAUUAGUAGGGGGUAGUAGAAUUGGUUGACACAAUUGAUGUGGAAACAUGUGCUGGCAAGAAUGCCAAAUCUUGACAAAAUCAAGACUAAAAUAGGAAGACUAGUGAUGAAGGCUAGUAAUAGACAAGAAUAGAAGGUAUAGAUGGAUGGUGGAGGUGGUUGGGGAUAAAAGAAAGAUUAAUGAGGCAUAAGGAUCAAGGAUAUGACGAGAGAGAAAUGACAAAUCACAAAGGUAGAUUGAUUCUAUAUAUUUAGUCUAAAUUGAGCUUUUUAGACUAGGAGUCAGAAAAUAUGACACAUUUCAACUUGUAUUAUUUCAUUUAUUUUUUCUCUUUAACUUGCUCGUACUGUUGCCCAAUUCCUCCAAAUUGGAGGCGCAUUGAGAUUUGGUCAAUUCCAGCAAGUCAAGACCAUCAUGGCUUGCUCAUCAAUGGGCUGAGUGGUAUGGUAGAUUGAGUCGUUAGCCUCUGGUAUAGCUGUGCAAUAUCUCUGCAUUAUCCACGAAACAAAGCAUCAAUAUUGUAUUAAGAUGUUUUGGAGGAGAAACGUAUUUGGGCAUGCUUAAUGGGACCCUUAUAAAAGCAUGGUAGCAAGAGUAGAACAGUGAAAGCAGAUUGAAACAAUGGCAAUCAAAUGAAACAAAUGGGAGGAGAAGAUGCUCGACCUAGUCAAGGAGGGGCUAUGAAAAGUGAUUGCAAUGCAUAGGUGAUUAUAGAAAAAAUGGAGAAAGGACGAGAAGCAAUUGAACAGUUGAAAAAGUUUGUGCAAAGGCUGUUAAUAGAAUGGAUCGAGUGGGUGACAAUCUCAUACGUUUAUAAACAUUAAAAACACAACACAAGUCAAUAUGCACUAACUCCAAAUAUUCUUCGACUCUUUAUUUUUUACUUUUAAAGGGUCUUUUGGUUAUUUUAUUUUUUGUACAAGAGUUGUAGACGAGAAUCCAUCCUAGAAUCAUAAUUUCCAAUGAUCUUGAAUUAACAGGUGUUUGGAUUUUGUUUAAA